UACGUAGGGUGCGAGCGUUAAUCGGAAUUACUGGGCGUAAAGCGUGCGCAGGCGGUUGUGCAAGACAGAUGUGGAAUCCCCGGGCUUAACCUGGGAACUGCGUUUGAAACUACAAGGCUAGAGUGUGGCAGAGGGGGGUGGAAUUCCACGUGUAGCAGUGAAAUGCGUGGAGAUGUGGAGGAACACCGAUGGCGAAGGCAGCCCCCUGGGUUAACACUGACGCUCAGGCACGAAAGCGUGGGGAGCAAACAGG
rnacentral:rRNA from 1 species